rnacentral:rRNA from 1 species
GAUGAACGCUGGCGGCGUGCCUAAUACAUGCAAGUCGAGCGAACGGACGAGAAGCUUGCUUCUCUGAUGUUAGCGGCGGACGGGUGAGUAAUACGUGGAUAACCUACCUAUAAGACUGGGAUAACUUCGGGAAACCGGAGCUAAUACCGGAUAAUAUUUUGAACCGCAUGGUUCAAAAGUGAAAGACGGUCUUGCUGUCACUUAUAGAUGGAUCCGCGCUGCAUUAGCUAGUUGGUAAGGUAACGGCUUACCAAGGCAACGAUGCAUAGCCGACCUGAGAGGGUGAUCGGCCACACUGGAACUGAGACACGGUCCAGACUCCUACGGGAGGCAGCAGUAGGGAAUCUUCCGCAAUGGGCGAAAGCCUGACGGAGCAACGCCGCGUGAGUGAUGAAGGUCUUCGGAUCGUAAAACUCUGUUAUUAGGGAAGAACAUAUGUGUAAGUAACUGUGCACAUCUUGACGGUACCUAAUCAGAAAGCCACGGCUAACUACGUG